UUAUAUAGUUUAGUUUGUGAUGAAUUUAAUUUCUGUUAGCUUGCGUGACUGUCAAUGGUUUUGCCCAUCACUAUAAAUGCCCACUAGCUAUGGGCCAGAUUUGUCAGUAUGAGAUGGCAGUUGUGGUGUAAGGAUGCUGAAAGAGAUUGCCAUGCUUGAAAGUAUACCUGCUUUAAUCAUUGAAAGUCUUGUUGAAGGUGGAAGAAAGCAUGUGAAGCUGAUUGAAUAUGACCGCUGAACUGCAUCAAGAGAAAUGCCAUCAGGGCAGCCAGCAACAAAGCUGUCAUCAUUCCUGCUUUUCAUCUCUGCCAGUCAGUGACAAUGCAACAUUCAGGCUUUGACAAAUAUUGGUUUCCAGUUGGCAAGUUCUAUGCAAUUUAACCACCUACUGAGAUGAUAUUGUAAGUAUUGGUCGCUUCUCCAUUUAAAUUUUCUUCCUUGACCAUAUCGGUCCCUGC